rnacentral:rRNA from 1 species
CCCUUAGAUGUUCUGGGCCGCACGCGUGCUACACUGAGUGGAUCAGCGGGUCAGGUUACGCGAGAGCGUUUCCUAAUCUUCAAAUCCGCUCGUGAUGGGGAUUGACGGUUGCAAUUUUCCGUCAUGAACGAGGAAUACCUUGUAAGCGCGGGUCAUCAUCCCGCGCUGAAUACGUCCCUGCCCUUUGUACACACCGCCCGUCGCUCCUACCGAUUGAGUGGUCCGGUGAGGCUUUGGGAUCUAAGCGAAAAGAGCGUUUCGCUCCUUUUGCUGGGAGAACUCAGUCGAACCUUAUCAUUUAGGGGAAGGAGAAGUCGUAACA